UGUACUUCGUGAAUAUAAAAGAAAAAGAAGAAACGUAUUCCUUGACAGUAGCAAUUUUAUAACUUUGAAAAAUAUUUGAAGAGUCAUCGUAAAAGUAUCUAUACGAAAUUUUAUACGAAAAUAUAUUAUUUUUUAUCGAUACAUAAAAAUAACAACAUUCGAAUUUCGCAAAAACUUCAAUUCAAUUGCUCGAAUUGCAAAAUACUUGUAGUUUUAUUUAUAGGUUAUGCAUAAUUUGUAAGCAUAAAUGUUUAGUACUAUUUCACUCGUAGUACUUUUCAACAAAUUUUCAUCGAAAUACUAUUCUCCUUCAAUUUAUAUUUCCUUACGACCUCUUUUCGUUCGACUAAUAUCCGUUUUCAAAAUUUUCCAUCAAGUUUCUCGUAUUUUUAGUUAUAAAUAGGUAGAUAGAAGUCGCAGCUCGAGUGAAAUCUCUAAAUUUUCAUUAGACAGGAUCAUUAAUCGUGGUCAUUUUAAUGGGUGUAUAUAUGUGUGGCGAGAUAUACACGUAAACUUCGUUCUUUCGUAAAAUCAGUUAUAGAAAAGAAAACAGAAUAAAGAAAGAGAAAGAUAAGAAGAGGAGACGUCGCGGCGCCUAUCCAGCAUACGAACGACGCCGUCUAGCUCAAUUUUGAAUUUAACAAUUACCAUAAAAAAAGUUAAGUGCUAAUCCACCAAGUUGAACUUGACAUACUUUCGAAAUAUGGCAUCCAAUGCAAUGGCAUUAAGACCCAAAGCGAGUUAAGUGGCUACAGUUAAUUAAUUGGAAAACUUUAGUAAUGAAAGCAUAGGUUGGUGAGAAGUGUUAGAGCGUCAGGACGUUCGGCGCCACAUUGCCGCGACCCAAAUAGUAAUAAUGCCGUCGGCGAAGCUUCUGUCGAUGGAGACGCUGUUGCGAGUGAUGGAGGACGAGGAAGAAUGACCGUACACCACCUACAUUUGCCUCAAUCUUGGACUCUGCGUAUACAUUAUUAUUCGAGUAAAUUUUUACGAGUUCUUUGGAUCGGCCACGUUCCUUCUCGUUUAGAGAUUAUUUUCGCCUAUCUUAUGGUUAUACAAUGCGUGUAUCGAUGCAAAAAUUUCAAGGAAGACCAUUAAGGGAAAGAGAAAGAAACUUUUCUCGUGUUGAUAAAUCAAGUUACGACACCCACGUAAUACUGGUUGGGAAAAAUUCGAGCAAGCAGAUAUAAUAAUAAGAACGAUUACCGUUUCGUGUUCAGACAAAAUCGAUUUUCCACGAAACGAAACGAAACGAGACGAACGGGACUUUGCAACCAACGUGAAAAACGAUUUUUCGAAUUAACAAAAAAUGGUAAAUAGAUAACUGUGUAUUAUCAAGUGAUUAACUACGAUGAAGCUCGUCAAUCCUCAUCGUUUAUCUCAUGAUUAGAAUGAUUGCAUGGAGAUAAUUGUAUCAAUUACGUGCAAUUUUGGCAGAGUUUAGAUCAGAUCCAAAAUAGCGAUUAGUUGUUUAGCUAUCGAGAAAUCCGCUUUCACGGAUAAACGCCGAAUUAAUUCACUGCUCUCUGUUUUCAUACGAUAGAUAUUAUUCGCUCGUAUCCUUUUAUUGUAAUAUGAAUUGGCCGAUUGCCAAAAACGAUUUUAUUACUUUUAUGUUCAGUGAAAAAUUGAUGGAAUAUUUCAUUUAGGUAUGAAAAUAAAAAUUUACUCGAAUAAGUAAUAGUUGCAGUUUUCACGAAUAAUUUAUCAUUUUUGAUGAACAAGUACAGUUUUACAAAGGAAAUUUCAAAAGAAACGAGUUGAAAAUAAUAAAAUUUCUUUAUUCAGAUAAGUUGUAAGAAAAUCACAAUGGCGCUUUCCCUUUUUCUUUUUAAUUUAAACAACAUUCUUCUCUCGUGCUCUCGCUAUAUAUAUAUAUUUUUUUUUUACAUACAUUUUACAUAUUUUUUCAUAUUUGUAUAAUAUACAUUCUAUUUCUAUUACAUUUUGUUACACAAAAAAUCGUUCAGACUUAUUAAAUUUAUAUCGUAAAUGUA